rnacentral:rRNA from 1 species
UACGUAGGGGGCAAGCGUUGUCCGGAAUCAUUGGGCGUAAAGCGCGUGUAGGCGGUCCGGUAAGUCCGCUGUGAAAGUCGGGGGCUCAACCCUCGAAAGCCGGUGGAAACUGUCGGGCUAGAGUGCGGAAGAGGCGAGUGGAAUUCCUGGUGUAGCGGUGAAAUGCGCAGAUAUCAGGAGGAACACCAAUUGCGAAGGCAGCUCGCUGGGACGUUACUGACGCUGAGACGCGAAAGCGUGGGGAGCAAACAGG